rnacentral:rRNA from 1 species
UGGGGAAUAUUGGACAAUGGGCGCAAGCCUGAUCCAGCCAUGCCGCGUGUGUGAAGAAGGCCUUCGGGUUGUAAAGCACUUUUGUCCGGAAAGAAAGCGAAUCGGCGAAUACCCGGUUUGGAUGACGGUACCGGAAGAAUAAGCACCGGCUAACUUCGUGCCAGCAGCCGCGGUAAUACGAAGGGAGCUAGCGUUGUUCGGAAUUACUGGGCGUAAAGGGCGCGUAGGCGGUUUUGUAAGUCAGAUGUGAAAGCCCCGGGCUUAACCUGGGAAAUGCAUUUGAGACUGCAAGACUAGAGAUCGAGAGAGGAAAGUGGAAUUACGAGUGUAGAAGUGAAAUUCGUAGAUAUUCGUAGGAACACCGGUGGCGAAGGCGACUUUCUGGCUCGACCCUGACGCUAAAGCGCGAAAGCGCGGGGAGCAAACA